rnacentral:misc_RNA from 1 species
CCCCCAAAUACAAGCCGGUUAGACCUUCAGCAAACGUUACCUCCCGAUCUUCCCCCUGAGCUUAACGCCAAGCACUUUCUCCAUCUUUGCCAAAACGGCCUGGUUAGGAACCGCCUUACCAUUCUCAUACUCCUGUGCCACCUUGGGCUGCUCGUUAAUCAACUUAGCAAGCUCCGAUUGGCUCAUCUUCUUCUCCAGCCGAGCCUUUUGGAUCGCCUGCCUUACCUCCACCGACACCUUUUCCAACGUCGCCGGCUCCGUUCCCUCGUCCAACUUCCUCGCGCUUACCACGGGG